AUUGAAAUAAACACGUGAGAUUGGACGUCCUGUAUAAUACGACUUGCGUUUUCUAUGAAUUCUAUGUGAUCUGUGACAUUUAGUGGUGUUAUACAAAUUGCCUCCAGCUUACUGACCAUGAUAUAGCAAAAUGGGAGUAUGUAUGUGUAAGGUCCAACAUUGCAUGCGCCAGGAUAGCGAUCUUCUGCUUCUUUCUACAAAUGCAGUUUUGGCGAAAUCCGAUCAGGCAAUAGCCACUUUGUACAAGGUAAAGGUAACCUCUACCUAGUGGAUAUUUUUUGCAAAGGAUUACGUGCACAACAAUGAAAUCAACAUAACCACUGACUGAAUCUACAUAUUACUCCAUUUGUAGCAAUAUCCACAGCAAAUAUUUACUGCCCUCGGCACUCAAGAAUGGUACCGAUUUCAUUUAUGCAGUGAUGUCCUGUCCUAUCUCAAGUAAAACAACAUAGUCAACCACACUAAGCGAUAGAAUCAAAUGAAUUGAAUUCCAAAUUGAUCAAACUCCAGUAACAUAUAUCAAAAUUGUAUUUAUAUUGUCCAAAGGUCACAUAAAACUAAUUGUUCCUCAGUUUUUCAAAACAUAAAAACUAAAAUUCAUAUAAACUAUGAAACAAUUGCAUAGCUAACAAUUGUAAGUAUUUUGAUAUAAAAUUGUAAAAUAAA